rnacentral:lncRNA from 12 species
CAUGAGCUGUACUGCCUAGGUAACUAAGGCACAAAACCCUAGGAUCUUAUGAAAUCAGAAGGUUGUAAGAAUAUUGGACUUAGGACAGGAUGAUUCAGCUCUCGAAAGAAUGUGGCAAGAAAUGAAGGUGGGAAAGAAUCAAGACGCUCUGGAAAUAACAGACUCCUAACUCUCACUCAAGUUAGCCAGCAAAGAGAGGCUGCUCCAAUCUGGCCGUGGAGACGUGAGGGAGGAUCAUGGGGAGACAGUUGUAUGGAGUCCAGUGUGGGAUGAAUCCAUCAACAGAAGGAAGAGAACAGCCUCCUUGCCUUGCCAGGUUGGUGGUGGGAUGUUCAAUGGUUUCUAAAUAGAAGGAUUUCCUUUGCCUUUUUCCAUUUCUUGGCUCUUUCCUCAUAAUCCUUUGCAAUAGGUCAAAAGUGCUCUU